GCGUCCUGGGGGCGUUAGUUCUUUGGAAACGUGUUUCUUUUGUGCUCACAGGCUUCCCUUGCCCGCGACCUUUCAAAACUUUCCAGAGAAUCACCAUUAAGAGGCAGGAGCCACCUCUGCGCCUUGUAAGACCUUGUGGGGGGGUCAGAGGGAGCCCACGGGACCCGUUUCGGUUGCCGCCCCUCUUGGUCGCGCUCACACAGGGAAUUCGAGGCCAUGGUGUAGGCACAUGGCAUCCAUGACCUUCAAGGACUGGCAGUGACCUUUACCUAGGACGAGUGGGAGCAGCUGGAUGCUGCCCAGAGGAGCCUGUACUGGGAGGUGAUGCUGGAGACCUGUGGGCUGCUGACCUCUCUGGGAUAUUCAGUUCCCAAACCAGAUCUAAUCCACCCACUGAAGCACAGGCAGGAGCUGUGGGUGGUGAAGAGAAGCCUCUCCCAAAGUGCCUGUCCAGUUCUGGAGUCAGGAAAGUCCAAGCUCAAGAUUCCUAUGGGGUUCAGUUUCCUGGCGUGCAGAGAGCCACCUUCUCACUGUGUCCUCAAAUGGAGAGAGAAGUCAUCGUGUUCAUAAGUGAGAACACACAAUAUGUUAAAUAUGUAACUUCUUCAGAAUAAAAGGAAAAAAUAAUUUAUUAAAAAAAAAACCAUUCCAACAAACGGAAGUCCAGGACCACAUGGCUUCAUAGGUGAAUUCUGUCAAACAUUUAAAGAAGACCUAACACCCAUCCUUCUCAAACUCUUCCAAAAAAUUACAGAGGAUGGAACACUCCCAAACUCAUUCUACAAGGCCACCAUCACCCUAAUACCAAAACCAAAGAUAACUACAGAAAAAGAAAACUACAGACCAAUAUCACUGAUGAACCUAGAUGCAAAAAUCCUCAACAAAAUACUAGCAAACAGAAUCCAACAGCACAUUAAAGGAUCAUACAUCAUGAUCAAGUGGGAUUUAUCCCAGGGAUGCAAUAUACAUAAAUCAAUCAGUGUGAUACACCAUAUUAACAAAUUGAAGAAUAAAAACCAUGCUCAUCUCAAUAGAUGCAAAAAAAGCUUUUGAGAAAAUUCAACACCAAUUUAUGAUCAAAACGCUCCAGAAAGUGGGCAUAGAGGGAACCUACCUCAACAUAAUAAGGCCAUAUGCCAUAAACAACAAACCCACAGCAAACAUCAUUCUCAGUGGUGAAAAACUGAAAGCAUUUCCUCUAAGAUCAGGAACAAGACAAGGAUGUCCACUGUCGCCAACAUAGUUUUCAAAGUCCUAGCCACGGCAAUCAGAGAAGAAAAAGAAAUAAAAGGAAUCCAAAUUGGAAAAGAAGAAGUAAAGCUGUCACUGUUUGCAGAUGACAUGAUACUAUACAUAGAGAAUCCUAAAGAUGCUACCAGAAAAAUACUAGAGCUAAUCAAUGAAUUUGGUAAAGUAGCAGGAUACAAAAUUAAUGCACAGAAAUCUCUUGCAUUCCUAUACACUAACUAUGAAAAAUCAGAAAGAGAAGUUAAGGAAACACUCCCAGUCACCACUGCAACAAAAAGAAUAAAAUACCUAGGAAUACAAAAAAACAAAAAUACCUAGGAAUAAACCUAUCUAAGGAGGUAAAAGACCUGUACUCAGAAGACUAUAAGACACUGAUGAAAGAAAACAAAGAUGACACAAACAGAUGGAGAGAUAUACCAUGUUCUUGGAUUGGAAGAAUCAAUAUUGUGAAAAUGACUGUACUACCCAAAGCAAUCUACAGAUUCAAUGCAAUCCCUAUCAAAUUAUCAAUGGCAUUUUUUACAGAACCAGAAGAAAAAAUCUUUAAAUUUGUAUGGAGACACAAAGCACCCCGAAUAGCCAAAGCAAUCUUGAGGGGAAAAAACGGAGCUGGAGAAAUCAGACUCCCUGACUUCAGACUAUACUACAAAGCUACAGCAAUCAAGACAGUAUGGUAGUGGCACAAAAACAGAAAUAUUGACCAAUGGAACAAGAUAGAAAGCCCAGAGAUAAACCCAUGCACCUACUGUCAACUAAACUGUGACAAAGGAGACAAGGAUAUACAAUGGAGAGAAGACAGUCUCUUCAAUAAGUGGUGCUGGGAAAACUGGACAGCUACAUGUAAAAGAAUGAAAUUAGAACACUCCCUAACACCAUACACAAAAAUAAAGUCAAACUGGAUUAAAGACCUAAAUGUAAGACUGGACACUAUAAAACUCUUAGAGGAAAACAUAGGAAGAACACUAUGACAUAAAUCACAGCAAGAUCCCUUUUGACCCACCUCCUAGAGAAAUGGAAAUAAAAAAUAAUAAUAAACAAAUGGGAUCUAAUGAAACUUAAGAGCUUUUGCACAGCAAAGGAAACCAUAAACAAGACGAAAAGACAACCCUCAGAAUGGGAGAAAAUAUUUGCAAACGAAGCAGCUGACAAAGGAUUAAUCUCCAAAAUAUACAAGCAGCUCAAUAUCAAAAAGCAAACAACCCAAUCCAAAAAUGGGCAGAAGAGCUAAAUAGACGUUUUUCUAAGAAGACAUACAGAUGGGCCAAGAGGCACAUGAAAAGCUGCUCAACAUCACUAAUUAUUAGAGAAAUGGAAAUCAAAGCUACAGUGAGGUGUUACCUCACACCAGUAGAACGGGCAUCAUCAGAAAAUCUAGAAACAACAAAUGCUGGAGAGGGUGUGGAGAAAAGAAAAGAACCUUCUUGCACUCUUGGUGGGAAUGUAAAUCGAUACAGCCACUAUGGAGAACAGUAUGGAGGUUCCUUAAAAAACUAAAAAUAGAAUUACCAUAUGACCCAGCAAUCCCACUACUAGGCAUAUACCCAGAGAAAACCAUAAUUCAAAAAGACGCAUGCACCCCAAUGUUCAUUGCAGCACUAUUUACAAUAGCCAGGUCAUGGAAGCAACCUAAAUGCCCAUCGACAGACAAAUGGAUAAAGAAGAUGUGGUACAUAUAUACAAUGGAAUAUUACUCAGCCAUAACAAGGAACAAACUUCGGUCAUUUGUAGAGAUCCAGAUGUACCUAGAGACUCAUACAGAGUGAAGUCAGUCAGAAAGAGAAAAACGAAUAUCAUAUACUAACACGUAUAUGUGGGAUCUAGAAAAAUGAUACAGAUGAACUGGUUUGCAAGGCAGAAAUAGAGACACAGAUGUAGAGAACAAACGUAUGGACACCAAGGGGGGAAAGCAGGGGUUGGGGGUUGGUGGUGGUGGGAUGAAUUGGGAGAUUGGGAUUGACAUAUACAUAGUAAUGUGUAUAAAAUAGAUAACUAUAAGAACCCACUGUAUAAAAAAUUAAAUUUAAAAAGAAUCUGCAUAUAGCAGCAAGGUGGAUAACCACAAAAAAACUUAAAUAACUAAAAAGGAAACAAGUGAGUAUCUUUAACUGAACAGUAUACUCUAGUCAGAAUUUAUGGAUAUAAUUAUGGAAACAGGUGAAUGAAUGUCCACAAAAAUUGAUAAAUACAUUGUGAUAUACUGGCAUAACAGAAUAUUUCAAGAAGAAAGCAAGCUAUAGUGCACACAUUGUGAUUCUUAGUUAUUUAACACUGACUUUUUUAAAAGCAUAUAUCAGAAGACUAUAGUAACGUCUUGGUCAUUCAGGCUGUUGUGACAAGGUACCACAGCCUGGGUAGCUUACAAACAGAAAUUUGUUUCUCAGAGUUUUGGAAGCUGGGAAGCCCAGGAUCUAGGUGCCAGCAUGGUCACAUUCUGGUGAGGGCCUUAUUCCUGGUUCAUAGCUGGUGCCUUCUCGCUGUCAUGGUGGAAGGAGCGAAGGAUCUCUCUGGAGCCUGUCUGUUAAAACACUGAUCCCAUUCAGGAGGGUUCCACCCUCAUGACUUACACAGUCUCACCUCUUAAUACCAUCAUCUUUGGAUGUAAGGAUUUCAACAUGUAGGGGACACAUUCAAGCCAUAGCAAUCAACAAUGAUACUAUUUAUCAGAAAUUAAAAAACAGAAAACUAUAUUUUCUUUAAAUAUACUUACAAGCAAGUAUGAUGUAAUAAUUAAACCAAGCGAUGAACUGACAACUAGAUGAGAUAGACAAAUUGCUUGAAAGAUGCAAAAUAACACAUCCAACACAAGAAACAAAAUCUGAAAUGCACCACAUCUACAAAAGAAAUUCAAUUUAUAAUAAAAAACACUCCCAUUAUAAAGUAAUGAAAUUAUGAAAGCAAGUUGAAGACAGUGAUUCAGGAAAAGAGAGGAUUGGAAAAAGAAGAAAUGUGUAGAUAGAGGUAGGAUAUUGGUUGGUAAUACUCCUGUUCUUGCAUUGGCUGAUGGUGUUCACUAUAAUCUUUAUAGAGAAAAUAAACGACUGGAAAAAGUUUAAGAAUAAACAUGACAGUGCACUGACAAAAGCGUGUCAUUAAACUAAGGUUUAUGAUUAAUACAAACCUAUACACCUGUAGUCAAUUAUAAAUUUUAGAAGCCAACAGAGUGUAUUGUGUUUGACAUCAUGGUACCUGGGGAGAAUCAGCCCAGAAACAAAUCCCAGCAACACCCCCUUGCUAGUUUUCUGCCCUUCAGCAAGCCAUUCAACUUCCACAAGCUUCUGCCCCCUCACCUACAAACCAGUACAAAUAGAGUCUCUCAAAAAUCACUGUGAGGAUGAAUCACACUGCACCUACAGUGCAAGGACCAAAAAGCUAUGAAUACUUGUUAACUAUCCUGUCUAUAUCACAGCAUGGACACGGAACACAACAUGCAUGAGUUGAAGCUGAAGAACGAAGUAGAGGUGGAUCAUUCAGGGAAACUAAUUACAGUUAAAAGAAGAAAAGGCCAUGAGA